UACAGAGGGGGCGAGCGUUGUUCGGAAUUACUGGGCGUAAAGGGCGCGUAGGCGGCCUUCUAAGUCGAACGUGAAAUCCCCGGGCUCAACCCGGGAACUGCGUCCGAUACUGGGAGGCUUGAAUCCGGGAGAGGGAUGUGGAAUUCCGGGUGUAGUGGUGAAAUGCGUAGAGAUCCGGAGGAACACCAGAGGCGAAGGCGGCAACCUGGCUCGUUACUGACGCUCAUACACGACAGCAUGGGGAGCGAACGGG
rnacentral:rRNA from 1 species